GACCCCGCACAAGCGGUGGAUCAUGUUGUUUAAUUCGUCGAUACGCGAAGAACCUUACCAGGCCUUGACAUACCCUGCAAUACCUAUUGAAAGAUAGGUGGAGGUUAUCAGGAGUACAGGUGGUGCACGGUUGUCGUCAGCUCGUGUCGUGAGAUGUUAGGUUAAGUCCUCUAACGAGCGCAACCCUCAUCGCUAGUUACCAUCAUUCAGUUGGGCACUCUAGUGAAACAACCAAGUGUAAACUUGGGGAAGUUGGGAUGACGUCAAAUCAUCAUGCCCCUUACGGUCUGGGCUACAAACGUGAUACAAUGGCUGUAACAAAGAGUCGCUACCCUGCGAAGGCAAGCUAAUCUCUAAAAAGCAGUCUAAGUUCGGAUUGAAGUCUGCAACUCGACUUCAUGAAGCCGGAAUCGCUAGUAAUCGCAAAUCAGAAUGUUG
rnacentral:rRNA from 1 species